AAUGUAUAUAAUGUGGAAUGUUCCUCAUAUGAUUUGUCCAAUCAGCUCGACUGGUCUCUGGCCUUGAGAGGGAGUCUGGUGGUGGCUUUGGAGGAUUCCAGUCUUAUUCAAGUAAAUGUUGAAAUGCACAAACCAAACAUAACAGUUCAGGGGAGGAGAGACACCAUUUUAAGUCCUGUGCAGGUUUUCAAAUCUGAAGGACAUUUCUUACCUCUCAAACUGGUCAGUGGCCAUUAUGCCUGCAGCAUGGAGGCGACCUGCCCAAAUGGUUUGUUAUUAUGGUCAUAUCUUAGCACUUAUCAUCUUUAUUUUUCAAUUUUGUAUCUCUUACAUAUUUGAAUAGCCAUUCUGCAUGUUUCUUUCAGUGAACAAUUCGUCAUCUGAAGACACGGUGCUGCAUGUCUAUAAACGGCGUAUGGGCUUGACCAAAAGAGGUGGAUAUCAAAAUGAGACCCUGUCAGUAAGCACUGUGAUUGUGGAACAGACUGACAAAUUCACCUGGUCAGAGACAAGUGACUUUGUGCAGCUUAUCAUUCCCACAUCCCACAUUCAACAGAAAAAGGAGUGCAUUGGUCAGGCAGGUGAGAAACUUCAGCAAAAUUUCUACAAGAUAGAUGCUAUUCUCACCUUUAAAGAGACAAAUCACAAAAUGCACUGGACCAUGGAAAACACUUCACCUUGUUCAGAGAUGUUAAAAUCACACCUCCAUUUAACGCAUGAUGACUCACAAGAAGCUAAUGUGACAACACUUUCACUUGAGGGUAUUACAGACAAGCCAGAAGUUCCUGUUGAUUCCAACAAAGAGUUUACUCCUUCUGUGCAACCAGAGAUGUCUACAGCAUCACAGACAGCAGAUGAAGAAACCAGUACAACCUCAGUACAAAUCCAACAACUCCAAACAUCUGAGGCUCUUAGUACUUCACCAACGGAGAUAGUGACAAAAUAUUUGCAGCUAGACUUUACGGCCUAAAGCACAACAAAGAUCUCUCAAGAAGUUCAUCUGUGCAUCAUUGACUGUGAGGGGCUGCAAUGCAGAACGGAUGGAAAUGCAGGUACUAACCGCACACGUGCCAGUGAUUUUACAAACAACACUAUUACUAUUGGUAGUCCAUUAAUCACAACAGUUGUAAUCACAGUUUGAAAUACAGCUACACAUUUAAGCACCAUUUUCACUCAGACUGGGAUUUACAACACAACAAUCAAGUGGAGCCAUGCAUCUUUUCCGCUGACAAGCAAAGUGCCGUUGGAAUCACAUGUGGGGAAUGAUUACAUCUAAGACUGUGUUGAAUAAAUGUGGUGUCUAG
rnacentral:lncRNA from 1 species